rnacentral:rRNA from 1 species
GACGAACGCUGGCGGCGUGCCUAAUACAUGCAAGUCGAACGCAGUGGGGACGGGUGAGUAACACGUGGGUAACCUGCCAUCAGAGGGGAUAACACUUGGAAACAGGUGCUAAACCGAUACUGGUGGAUGACGCCGGGGGGCAUUAGCCAGUUGGGGAGGUAACGGCUCACCAAGGCCACGAUGCAUAGCCGACCUGAGAGGGUGAUCGGCCACACUGGGACUGAGACACGGCCCAGACUCCUACGGGAGGCAGCAGUAGGGAAUAUUCGGCAAUGGACGAAAGUCUGACCGAGCAAUGCCGCGUGAGUGAAGAAGGUUUUCGGAUCGUAAAACUCUGUUGGUAGAGAAGCGGUAUCUAAACAGAAAGCACCGGCUAACUACGUGCCAGCAGCCGCGGUAAUUC